AGUGAACGCUGGCGGUAGGCCUAACACAUGCAAGUCGAACGGCAGCACAGAAAGAGCUUGCCCUUACGGGUGGCGAGUGGCGGACGGGUGAGGAAUACAUCGGAAUCUACUUUUUCGUGGGGGAUAACGUAGGGAAACUUACGCUAAUACCGCAUACGACCUACGGGUGAAAGCAGGGGAUCUUCGGACCUUGCGCGAUUGAAUGAGCCGAUGUCGGAUUAGCUAGUUGGCGGGGUAAAGGCCCACCAAGGCGACGAUCCGUAGCUGGUCUGAGAGGAUGAUCAGCCACACUGGAACUGAGACACGGUCCAGACUCCUACGGGAGGCAGCAGUGGGGAAUAUUGGACAAUGGGCGCAAGCCUGAUCCAGCCAUACCGCGUGGGUGAAGAAGGCCUUCGGGUUGUAAAGCCCUUUUGUUGGGAAAGAAAAGCAGCAGGUUAAUACCCCGCUGUUCUGACGUUACCCAAAGAAUAAGCACCGGCUAACUUCGUG
rnacentral:rRNA from 1 species